AACGGCAAUGCCAUGGUUGGUCUUUGGUCCACGGAAAACUUACGGAUUCCGUUCCAUUUAUUAACCGCGUCUCUCGGAUCCGAGUCGUUUGAUUAUAUUAUUAUCACGUCGACUUUGGGUCUUUUGCGCGACAAUUGUGCCGGCCGGGCAUUUCACACGGGCUUUAUUGCGGUUGCUAUCGUUUCGCGACCGGUCCGUUUGUUAAUUUUCUCUCGGUUCGCCGAAAAAUGAAUCUCGUAUCCGCCGCCGGUCUGGGACGUGUGUGGCGGGCAAAACGGUGUGAAAUACCCGAGCGCGAGCGCUGUCGAGCAUUCGAAAUUUCGCGUCCGCCCAAAAACCUAUACGCGCGCUAUACACCACUAAUAAGUAGGUGUAACACGGUUGUGGUAGACACUGAAUUAUUGCCUAUCUAUCGAUAUUUUUUUUUUUUUUGAAAUUUUUUUCACACUCCGAACAUAUUUUCCACUUUUCGAUAUAUCGUAUUCUAGUCGCUGUCCAAACGUGUUACGGACUAUUAACGAGAAAAAUCGCGGUCUCCGGUGUUAAAAUCCGGACAACGUCAGUGUUGCGUUUGUGCGCAACACACCGGUGUAGGACGGCCGAAAAUCGAUUCCCACGAUAAUCGGUCGGACCGCAUUUUUGUUUUAAUGCGAUUUAUUUUUUCGUAUGCCUUCGACGUUUGACGGCUGUUUGCGAGACGACUUCAAUAGCCCCGCCUAUAGGUACUUUUGUGUAAGGGCUUUUCGUGACACCGCAGCCACCCAGUCUAUGAUCCGUAACGCGUGGCCGGGUCGAAAUCCAGACUGUAAAGACUUUUCGCCCCUCGAUGCCUAUAUCCGAUGACCUAGCGGCAAUUGUAUGCUCGUAAUAACGAUACAUUCCGUCGAUGAUGUUGUUGACGGAUUUCGAUUUGAACAAUGGUUAUGACGUCCCAUACAAUCCCCUACGUCCGUACAAUAAUGUGCCCAGCCGCGGGCAAAAUGCGUACGGACGUCGUCGGUCGUUCCACGAAAAUAUGUGGAAUUUCUGGGCGAUUUUCAGCCGACCCCCAACCCCCCCAUUAGCCCCCCGUUGAACGUGGCUCUGCGUGUGUAACUCCCCG